rnacentral:rRNA from 1 species
GACGAACGCUGGCGGCGUGCUUAACACAUGCAAGUCGAACGGAGAUUGCUGACAGAAGCCUUUCGGGGUGGAAGAUAGUAUAUUUUAGUGGCGGACGGGUGAGUAACGCGUGAGUAACCUGCCUCGAAGAGUGGAAUAACAGCGAGAAAUCGUUGCUAAUACCGCAUAAGACCACGGCAUCGCAUGAUGCAGGGGUCAAAGAUUUAUCGCUUUGAGAUGGACUCGCGUCCCAUUAGCUAGUUGGUGAGAUAAUAGCUCACCAAGGCAACGAUGGGUAGCCGGACUGAGAGGUCGAUCGGCCACACUGGGACUGAGACACGGCCCAGACUCCUACGGGAGCAGCAGUGGGAAUAUUGGCAAUGGAGGAAACUCUGAUGCAGCGACGUCGCGUGAAUGAUGAAGGUCUUCGGAUCGU